rnacentral:rRNA from 1 species
CACAGCGGCAAAAGCACGUUGAAUACUCCAGUUCUUGCCCGAUCACUGAAGUAAAGCAACGUUGAGCGUGGAUAGUACUUGGAUGGAACCCAAUGCGCUUGACUGUAG